AGCCUGGAUUGUCGACGGUGCCUCCAGUUCUUCCUCGGCUACCUGCCGACAGUAUUGAAGAAUUAGAGGCAGCCGUGCGGGAUGAGGCUGUGGCUGCCCCCUUGCGCAAGCACCUCCUGCAAAUAGGAGGGAAGUCACUGCGCGAGGUGGCAUCGUAUGCCAUGAAGGCUGUAAUGGCACACUCCGUCCAAGUGCUUUACAGCCUUCAUAGCAGGAAGGGGAAGAGGGCAUUCAUCAAUUUGAAGUUAUGCCGGAUAGUCACAGAUGUCAUCUGUGCGAAAGGGAGGGGGGGGCGACCUGACACAAGCACAGGACUUCAUUAAGUGGUUGCCAGGGUCUGUGGACAGCGGUGGUGGCAGGCAAAGGCGUUUCGAAGA